UUUCCGGGCGGGAAUCUUGCGGGAAUCUUGCGGGAGAGGAGAAUCGGCCGAGAUGGUGGAGAGAUGAUGGAGAGAUGAUGGAGAGAUGAUGCGUAUAUAGAGAUGGAUGUAGGUGUAGGUGUAGGUGUAGGUGUAGGUGUAGGUGUAGGUGUAGGUGGGUGGAAGGCUGUAUAUGUGUCAGAUUAUACACCAGGAUAUAUCUAUAUAUAUAUACAUACUAUAGAUGGAAUGCAAAAUACAAUAACGAAGAGAAAAUGGGUUUGUAUUUUAUAGAAGAACUGAGACGGAGCUGACUUCCUAUAUCAGGAACAUUGACGAUAUUCAGUGUGAAGAGAGUGAUGAGAGAAUCAGAGAUAGCGAUACGAAAGAAAGUAAAGAGAAGAAACAACUGUAAAAG
rnacentral:sRNA from 1 species